rnacentral:rRNA from 1 species
CCUACGGGUGGCAGCAGUGGGGGAUAUUGGACAAUGGGGUGAACCCUGAUCCAGCGACGCCGCGUGAGUGAAGAAGUAUCUCGGUAUGUAAAGCUCUGUUAGCAGGGAAGAAAGAAAUGACGGUACCUGACCAAGAAGCCCCGGCUAACUACGUGCCAGCAGCCGCGGGAAUACGGAGGGGGCAAGCGUUAUACGGAAUUACUGGGUGUAAAGGGAGCGUAGACGGUUAAGUAAGUCUGGAGUGAAAGGCCGGGGCCCAACCCCGGGACUGCUCUGGAAACUAUUGAACUUGAGUGCAGGAGAGGUAAGCGGAAUGCGUGGUGUAGCGGUGAAAUGCGUAGAUAUCAGGAGGAACACCAGUGGCGAAGGCAGCUUACUGGACUGUAACUGACGUUGAGGCUCGAAAGCGUGGGGAGCAAACAGGAUUAGAUACCCGUGUAGUC